GGAGAGAUGGCAGAGUGGUUUAUUGCAACGGUCUUGAAAACCGUCGAAGGAUAUAAUUCUUCCGUGGGUUCAAAUCCCUCUCUCUCCG
rnacentral:tRNA from 1 species